GGGACAGUGAGAUGCCAGCAGAAUUUCCAGAUAUUUUAGAUGCAUCUUUUGAUUACUAGUUCUCCAAGAACGAUCAACGUGCAGUUAUGCUUGUUUUGGCCUCUCUUCUGUUUUAGAAGACUUGUUAAUGGAAAGAUGAGUUUUUCGGUCGAUCUGUCAAAGCUUUGCAGGUGAUUUCUACUUCUCAGUCUGCUGACGGAGUUGAAUUUGAGAACUCCCUAACCCCCAUCGCAGCUCUGUUUUUCCACUUUUCCUCUUCUACUCUGUCGCCAUGACAAAGCAAGAUGAUCUUGAACAAAAUGCAAACACUUCUUUUUUUCCUCCUUGUGUUUGUAUAAGUUUCCACUUCAAAGGCACGCAAAGUGCCGCUUUGUGGGAAUUGACAUAUUUAAUGGGAAGAAGCUUGAGGAUAUCGUUCCGGGUGUUCCUCAUGUUUCUCGCACUGAUUAUCAGUCGAUUGAUAUCUCUGAAGACGGUUUUGUGAGUCUUUUAAUGGAUAAUGGAGACACCAAGGAUGAUCUGAGGCUACCCACUGAUGACAAUCUGCUCGGCCAGAUGGGUUUGGUGAAGGAAAGGACCUCGUGCUGAGCAUUAUGUCUGCAAUGGGGGAGGAGCAGAUCUGUGCCCUAAAGGACAUUGGCCCAAAAAACUAAAUAUGAUGCUGUAGCAGUAGCUAUGGCUGAUGUCAAAAGAAGCCCUUGCUUUUAGAUCUGAGAGGGAAGUUAUCUACUGGUGUUACAAUAAGUUUCUAUUAGAUGCAAUCUAGUACUGUAAAAAAAAGAAAAUUCAGCACUCAUCUGUGUGCUUAGAAUUCUAUCAGGCUUGUGAAUGGGGCCAGGAAAUAGAAAGGUGGGCUGCAUAUCCCUCAGUGAAGGGAACUUAAGUUUACAGCAGGAUGGAAUUUAUACAAAUAUAGCUAUUCUGCCAUUUUCUUGUUUCUGUUUUAGCUUUGCCCUUCUUGGGGCUGUGGUUCGUUUCUUUUUCCUUUUACAGAAUUUGAGGAUUAUGGGUUUCACUCAUUGGAAAUUCUUAAAAGAAAUUCCGGAUUUUU